UGUGGAGGGUUAUUGGAAAUUGGGGGAUUUGAGUGUAGGAGAGGAGAGUGGAAUUUUAUGUGUAGUGGUGAAAUGGGUAGAGAUGUGGAGGAACACCAGUGGCGAAGGGCGGCUCUCUGGCCUGCAACUGACGCUGAGGCGCGAAAGCGUGCGGAGCAAACAGGAUUAGAUACCCUGGUAAUCCACGCCCGUAACCAUGAGUGCUAAGUGUUAGAGGGGUCACACCCUUUAAGUAUUGCAGUUUACGCGGUAAGCAACGCGGCCUGGGGAGUACGGGCCGCAAGGCUGAACUCCAAAGGAAUUGACGGGGGCCCGCACAAAACGGGUGGAGCAUGUGGUUUAAUUCGAAGCAACGCGAAGAACCUUACCAGGUCUUGACAUCCCCUGACAACCCAAGAGAUUGGGCGUUCCCCCUUCGGGGGGGACAGGGUGACAGGUGGUGCAUGGUUGUCGUCAGCUCGUGUCGUGAGAUGUUGGGUUAAGUCCCGCAACGAGCGCAACCCUUGCCUCUAGUUGCCAGCAUGAAGGUGGGCACUCUAGAGGGACUGCCGGCGACAAGUCGGAGGAAGGUGGGGAGGACGUCAAAUCAUCAUGCCCCUUAUGACCUGGGCUACACACGUGUUACAAUGGGCGGUGCAAAGGGCUGCGAACCCGCGAGGGGGAGCGAAUCCCAAAAAACCGCUCUCAGUUCGGAUUGCAGGCUGCAACUCGCCUGCAUGAAGCCGGAAUCGGUAGUAAUCGCGGAUCAGCAUGCCGCGGUGAAUACGUUCCCGGGCCUUGUACACACCGCCCGUCACACCACGAGAGCUUGCAACACCGGAAGUCGGUGAGGUAACCCUUACGGGAGCCAGCCGCCGAAGA
rnacentral:rRNA from 1 species